rnacentral:rRNA from 1 species
CCGACCUCAGAUCAGGCGGGACUACCCGCCGGAUUUAAGCAUAUUAAUAAGCGGAGGAAAAGAAAACAACCGUGAUUCCCUUAGUAGCGGCGAGCGAACAGGGAAAAGCCCAUCGCCGAAUCCCGCCGCGCACUUUUGUGUCGCGGCACCUAUGGGAGUUGUGGCGUACGGGCCGGCCUCGUUGCCGGGGCGNANGUGACGGUCC